AACGAACGCUGGCGGCAGGCUUAACACAUGCAAGUCGAGCGCCCCGCAAGGGGAGCGGCAGACGGGUGAGUAACGCGUGGGAAUCUACCCAUCUCUACGGGAUAACGCAUGGAAACGUGUGCUAAUACCGUAUACGUCCUCCGGGAGAAAGAUUUAUCGGAGAUGGAUGAGCCCGCGUUGGAUUAGCUAGUUGGUGGGGUAAAGGCCUACCAAGGCGACGAUCCAUAGCUGGUCUGAGAGGAUGAUCAGCCACACUGGGACUGAGACACGGCCCAGACUCCUACGGGAGGCAGCAGUGGGGAAUAUUGGACAAUGGGCGCAAGCCUGAUCCAGCCAUGCCGCGUGAGUGAUGAAGGCCCUAGGGUUGUAAAGCUCUUUCACCGGUGAAGAUAAUGACGGUAACCGGAGAAGAAGCCCCGGCUAACUUCGUGCCAGCCGCCGCAGUAAGAC
rnacentral:rRNA from 1 species